rnacentral:lncRNA from 1 species
AACCAAUAUGUUACAACUGACACCUCAAUUAACAAAUCAAACCAAACAAAAGACCACAUUCAACUAUUUCAAAAUGUCUUCAAUGGCACCUCAAAACAUUCAACCUAACAUGUGAUCAUCCAACCAUUCAAACCAUCUUUCAAUUGAUUCCAUAUUAGGUUUUAUAACUGAAGUGCAAGGAUUAGUAAAUCAUUUCAAACAUGGCAUAGCAUAAGCAUUAUCUUUCCAUACCUAUAUUUUAGUAUAUCACUUAAAUACCUAUUAAUCAAAUAAUAUGCCCAUCAAUUAUUUAACAAGUUAUCAUUAUCAUGAUCUUUGUCAUCAUGCGCACAAUAUUUACAUAUGAUCCACAAAAUGCCAAUGCAACCCAAAAUAGACAUCAUAUAACCCUUAGAUUUAUUAGGUACAUGCCAAGACCCAAAAUGAAACACAUCACCAACACUUGAGUUCGGGAUUGUCGCUGGAUGUUGAGUUGAUGAUCGAAUCGAUAAGUACCUAACCUGCACACGAGAAAACCAAAACUAUACGCUGAGUGAAUAAGUCAUAAUGAUGCAUAAACUUAAUUAAGAUAAUAUGCAAUAUGGAAACCCAAUAGGCUAAUUCACAGUCAUUAACCUCAAUAUGCUCAUUUUACAAAUACAUAGCAUUCACAUUUCAUAAGUCAUUUGCAAAUUCAACUAAUGUAAUGACAUAUUUCAUCUUAAUUUCUUAUUUCAAGUGUUGAUUGAACAAAUACUAUCAAUAUUCAUAGUUCAAUCCAUUAUUUCAUAUUCUAUUUCACAUUUCAUUUCAUUCCAUAACAUUUUCUAUUUCAAUAGCAUUGCCAUUUCAAAAUCAUUAUCUUGAUUUCACCAUUUAUUUCCCUAUUAACUCGACUCAGACUCAGACUUGGACGGAUACACGGAUCCAACCAACACACCAGUUUGGCAUCUAGUGCUUCAUCAGGUAAAUCCGAAGCAAGUAGUUGCGCCCAACACUAUAAAUAAGUUUGACGCCCAGUGUCUCUUUGGUUAAACAGAAGCAAAUUGGCACCCAAUGCCUCAUUGACUUGUAGUCGAAGUAACCUUAAACUCUUCCUAUCCUAUGGCAUGCCAAUUACAUCUGACUCUGCUUGAACAAUUAAUAGGGUAUUCAAUUCAUUUUUCAAUACCAUUCAAUAACUCGAUUCAUAUCAAUUUUAUCAUGAACUCAUUCAUUCAAACAUAUGUCAGCAUCAAAUAUCUCAUUUUGUAUUCAAUUUCCUUAUUUAUAUAAAUAUACACAUGUUUUUCACAUAUAAUCAAUUUAACCCUUAUAAUCACUAAUCAUUUCAAAUCAUCUCAAUCAAUCAAGGAACCUUACCUUACAUUCUUACUAUGCACAAACAAAUCAAAAUGUAGCAAUUACAAGUUAGUUCAAAUUAUAGAAACACAAAUCGUAAACUUCGAGCUAUUCUUCAACAACUUUGUCCUUUCCUUUCCUUUUCGAGGAAUCCGAGUCGAUAUUAGCUAGGAUUAAAAACAACACAUCAAGUUAUCAAUUUACAGCCAUUUUCACAUUCAAAUUUCUAAUGUUUACAAUUUUUUCAAUUUAUUCAAUUUAGUCCCUAAAACUAGGACUAACAUAACUUUUAAAUUUAACCUCCAAUUUUUAUACCAAUUUCACUCUAAGUCUAAUUUAACUCCCUAAUUCUCAUUUCUAUCCCAAAAUUUUGAACUUUGUAUAAUUUAGUCCCUAUUACACAAAAUCAUCAAUUAACUUUACAAUUCAGUCAUUUAUCAAUUCUAAGUUUAAAAUCUAUCAAAAUACCAAAAGCUUCAACCAUCUAACAAUGGAAACUUCUUAAUUCUUUAACAAUACUAAAAAAUUCAACACGAGUCGAUUAGCUUAUAGUAUCGAGAUUCCAAAAACAUCAAAAUUACGAGAAAAAGAAUAAAUUGAACUAACCAAAUUUAAGCUUAAAAAAUAAACCCUAAAAUCGUGCGUGCCUUUCCCCUUUCUCCUUGGUUUCUAAUUGAUGAAGAUGAAAAAGAGAAAAAUGUUUUCUCUUACCAUCCACCAAUAUUAUAUCAUUUCUUUAUUUUAUUAUACUUUUUCAUUUUAUAAUUUAAUUUAACUAUUAUAAAUAAUAUAACAUACAUAUUUCAUUAACCGGCCAUGCAUUAACAAUUUUAGGAAUAUUUAUUAUUUUAACCCUUUUAUUUAAGUUCUAAUUAUAAUUCCUUAGUAAAUUGCAUUUUGACCAAUUAUGCGAUUUAGUCCUUGCACUUCAAUUAAGCAUUAAUUCAACGAAAUUACCUAACCGAAAUUCAAUUCACUUCUAAUAAAACUCUGUGAAUAUUUAAUAAAAAUAUUUACGUGUCCAGUUUACGAAAUUGGGGUUCUAAAACCAUAUUUUUCGACACCGCUAACUUCUAACUCGUUACAGUUAUUAUUAAAUUUUGUUUAAAUUGUAAUAAAGUAAAUAUUUUUUUUUGUAAUCCUCAAUAGGUUGGAUAUUGACUUGUUCAAGUAUGUAUAAUCUAAAAUUUAAAGCCUAAAAAAAACACGAAUCACACUUACAAAGGCUCAUUUAUAUAAAAUAUCUCAAAUGAGUCACUUCCAUUACGUGCUAGAGUUUCUUGUUUAUUAAAAGAUGGAGAUCCGAGACUCAUAUUUUUUAUUUUCCACGCAACGAAGCAAUGAUAAUACUAAAAGAUGUAGCCCUACUAAUGAGCCUUCCAAUCAAUGGUAAUGCAGUAACAAGAGAAAUAGUAUUCAAGAUGUUGUCAAUACUCUACUCAUUGUUGGGUAUAUUGUCUGAGAAGAAAACUGAUUUUGAUAUUCUUCAUGUGAAAUUUACAUUAUUUCAGCCUUUAUUUAAUGAAAAUCUCAAUGAGACCGAUCGCUUACAUGCUCUACACAAUCGAAGGAACGUUGAUGACAAACAAAUGGCAAAAUGGUGCAAUGCAUGUAUUUCCCACUUCUCACCAAAUUAGAUGGGGUUGGAACAUACAACUAAAGGUUAGUGGUUUUCACAUUCCUCUACAAAAUGCUUUGCAAGGUGAUGUAGAUUGAGAUCGAUGAAAUAAAUUAUUAUUGUCUAAUUCUGCAAGGGUGGGCAUAGAUGCAAUUGUCAUGUUCAACAUCCAUAUCUAUACUACUAUCUCCUUUUUACACAAAGGUGAAAAUAUAAUCAUAUUUAACAUAUUAUCUUAUAAAACAUACUAAAUAAAUAUUUAUAAUGUUACUAUAACGACUCAAAAUUUAUGUUAUCAAAAAGUGUAUUUUCGGGUCUCCAUUUUCGCAAAACAGAUUCGUAAAUAUUUAUUAAAUAUAUUUACGAAGUUAGUUUUGGCUAGGUGAAUUAGUUUGAAUUAUGGAUAAUUAGGAAUAAGGACUAGAUUGAAUAUAGAGUAAAAGUAGAAUUAUAGAAUGGAGAAAAGUCAAUGGACUAAAUAAGUAAUUAAACCAUACAUUGACAUGUGUGUGGUAAAAAUAAUUUCCAUGUGUAUAAAUAAUAUACAUAUAUUUAAAUAUAAAUUAAACUUACUUAUAAUUUAAGUAAAUAUUAUAAUAUUAUUAUAAUAUAUCAUUAUAAUUAAAAUAAAACAUGAAAUACAUAAAUAAAGAAAAAGAAGAACAAGAACAUAAAGUUGAAACGAAAAAGAAAGAAAGAAAAUAGAAAGAAAAAGAAAAAGGGACAUUAGGGUUUUAAGGUUCUAAGUUCAAUUGGUAAGUCAAUUUAAUCCCAUCUUCUUCUUUUUUUUGUAAUUUUGAUGUUUUUAGAAUCCUAAAACAAAAUAUUACUUGAUUUAUGUUGAAAUUUUAGAAGUUAGUGGAUUUUUAUAAGUUGUUCAUGUUGAAUAAAUUUAAGUGUUAGGGGUUAAAUUGACAUAAUUUCAAGUUAGAAUAGAGAAAAUGAUUGAAUUGUAAAAUAAGUUAUAAGUUUUGAAAUAAUAAGGACUAAAUUUAGAGAAUUUCAAAAUUAGAGUUUAUGGUGAAAUUUAAAAGUUGAAAUUAGUCUAAAGUGAGAAUUGAAUGAAAAUAUGAAAUUAGUUUUAAAUAACAUAUAGUUAGUUUUGAUUAGGGACUAAAUUGAAAUGUGAGCAAAAUUUGAAUAAAAAUUGAAAUAUUCAAUGUGAAAUUGUGUGUAUUGAUGAUUUUAAAUUGUUUUAAUUUCCGUAGCUAACGUCGUGCCGAAAACUUCGGCUAAGAAGGGAAAGGAAAAAGUUGAUGAGGAGUAACUCGAGAAAUUAUGGUUUGUAUUUUUACAAUCCGAAGCUAAUUAUUAAUUAAGGUAAGUAUUGAUAUUGAAUUGAAUUGAAUUGAAUUAAAUUAUGAGUAUAUUUGAUUAUUUGGAAUACAUAUUGAUUGGAAAUUGAAAAGUUAUUUGAAAGCCCUAUUAACUGUAUCGGGUCGAGUCGGAUAUAGUUGGCAUGCCAUAUAUUGGAAGAGUUCAAGGAUUCUUCGACCAAGAAGUUGAUGAGACAUUGGGUGUCAAACUAUUGCUUCGGAUAAAUUCGAUGACGUACUGGGUACCAACUUACUUUAGCAUGGCCGAUGAGACAUUAGGUGUCAAUCUAUUACUUCGAAUUAUCCGAUGAGGCACUGGGUGUCAUACUGGUGUGUUUUGGUUGGAUCCGUAUAUCUGCCAAAGUCCGAGUCGUGUUAAUAGGGGUAAAUAAAUGAAUUGGCAAUAUGAAUGAUAUUGGAUGAUUUUGAAUAUGAAUUGGAUUGGGAUAUUGAAUUGACAUAUGAAAAUGAAAUAUAUGAACCAUGGGUUCAUGAAAUAGUUAUUGAAAUAGUGAAGUGAUGUAUGAAUCAAAGUGGAGAAAAUUGUUUGAAAUAGCUAUUAAUGAGAUAUGAAAGUUAAAUGUAUAAAUUGUUAUAUUGAUUGAUUAAUGUUCUUGUAUGAUUAAAUGUGUAAUGUUUAAAUAUAUUAUUUUCUUUAAAACAUUCGGAUUAUAGAAAUACCACUGAGUUUAUACUCAGCGUACAGUUUGUUUUCCGUGCGCAAGCUAGGCUGAAAUCAAAUUUUCGAAUCAGCAUCUAAAGCCGCUCCUGAACUCAAAGUGGUGAAGUAUAUUUCUUUUUUGUAAUGGCAUGUACCUAGGACAUCAUAUGUAUGUCAUUUUGUGAAAUGAUUGUAUAUGAUGUUAUAAGAUGAUACUAGUUACUUAUAUAUAUAUGAACAUAUGUAUGUUAUGUUCAAGUAAUAAUAUGGUAUGUUCAAGUUAAUACUCAAAUGGAUAUGAAAUAUGCAAAUCUAAGGUUAAAAUUGUAUGAAAAUUUGGGUUAGCUUAAAUGGUGGAUUGUCAAACAAUAUAUGUAAAAUACCUAUGAGGGUACAUUAAUUAGACCCUUAGAUUGAUGAUUUUGGCAUGUAUUAAAGGUAUUUGAAUGUGUUUUGGAUUGGUUGGAAAUUUUGAAUUUUGAGUUGCUUGUUGUUCAAGAUUUGCUGGGUUGGUAAACUUGAUGUAUAAGGCUCAUUUUGAGUCUACACAGCCUGGCACACGGGCGUGUGACCAGACCAUGUGAGACACACGGCUAGCAAAUAGGCGUGUGGGUUGGCCGUGUGUCCCCUGAAACUUAAGUUUUUUAAAACAGAAUACUCAGGUAUUACCACACGGGUAGAGAUGCGGGCGUGUGUAUCAGCCUUGUGAGGCACAAUACUAACACACGGGCGUGUGGCUGGCUGUGUGGCCUAAGUCAGAGAGUUACACAGGGUUAGACACGGCCUGAGGCACAGGUAUGUUUAAGGUCACAUGGGCGUGUCCCUAAAUCACAUGGGCGUAUGAGCCCUGUACUUAGAAAAAAAUUUAAAAUUUCAUGAAAAAUUUUUUAGACUUUCGAUUAAGUAUCAAUUUGUUUCUAAUAUGUGAUUUGGGCCUCGAGGGCUCAAUAAAGGAACAUUAUGAUUAAAUUAUGAUGUGUAUGUUAAAUUAUUAUGUGAUUAUUCAUAUUUGUUUUGAAAUGUCUGGUAAUGCUUCGUAACCCUAUUCUGACGACGGAUAAGGGUUAGGGGUGUUACAGUUACUUACACUUAAUGUUUAAAUAGAUUUAACCAUCACUUGAAUCAUACUAAUUAUAUGAAGGAUUACCUAGAUUCAAUAGGAAAUCAAUCAACAUGCAUUGGAAUAAGUUACUAUUAUAUUUGUAUUUAAUUAAUAUAAUUAUCAUCUUAGAUAAAUAUACUUGUAUUUAUUAUGAUUAUUUGUUGUUUGUGUGAAUGUUGUACCAAGAUGAUGCAAUUGUCACGGGCCAAGGUGCAAAGCCAGUGACCAUCAUAUAAAAUGCAUCCAUAGAGAUCUAUCAAUUAGAUAGGGAUCAUUUGACUCACGAGAACUAGCCCAAUUUAAAAACUAAUGGAGAAGCCUGUCUGUUUGAAGCUUAGGUAGCCCAAUAAAGUAGAUAUGAAAAGUUAGGCUACCUUAUUAAAUAGGGAAACUAAUCUUGGAAGAUUGAAGGGAAUCAUAUCUGAUAAGAUUUGAUUUGAUUAUGUAAAUCUUAUAAAUCCCUUAAUUGUAGGGAGAAGCUUCAUCUUGUAACGCCCUGAUAAAUUUAUUUCUGUAUCUGUAAAUUUUGACACAAGUGUGUAUCUACUUCAGUGGUUAAGUGUUCUAGGUGUGUUUGAAAGGUCUUGGGUUCAAGUUCUACCUUUAGAAAAUUUUGUUAUUUUUCUGAUCCUAACCUUACCCUUGUUGGAUGGGUUUAUAUAUUAAACUGUUUGUUAAUUCAUAUUAGAAUGAGCCCGCUGGUUCGGAUGGUAAAGGGUUGGUGUGUUGGGGGUCCUGUGUUCGAAUCCUUGCGUGUUAAAUAGAGUUUCGAUUGAGCUCAAAUUCUGAGGGAGUUAUGAGUAGUGGGUAAGUAGGAGAAAAUUGAGGGAUUUAUGGGAUUUCUUAUUUUUUUAUUAUAAUUUUAUUUUUCUUUUCUAAUUUUAAUUUUUCUUUCUCUUCCCAAAUUUUCCAAACAUUUGACUUUUUUCCCUAUUGUCUGGUAAAAUCUUUUGUUAUCUUGUGUUCGAAAUUCUGUCGAAAUCUUGUUAAUCAAUUUCAGUUUUCAAUUCUUUAGUGUUUUUGUACGUUUGGUAAGUGCAUGGGGUGAUUUUCGUGUAGAUUAAGGAAAAUCAUUCCUUAAGUUGUUCAAAUCGAUUCUUUUCUCUCUCCCGUUAGUUAAUUGUGAGUGUUAACAGCAGAGAAUCGUGAAUAACAGGGCUAUCCUCUUGCGAAAUCAUAGCCAGAAUUGUUUGGAGUAAUAGAACUUUUGUUGGUUUUAUGGUUUCAGAUUAAUCUCGAAUUAAGACUGAAUUUGGAGUUUGGUUUGUUGAUUUUAGGUUCUGGUGAUCUCGGGUGUGUUCUUGUAUCAAAAUUGAAGUAGGUGUGUAUCCCUUACGCGUGAAAAACGAGUUUCGACUCUAGUGGAUUAAAAAUAAACAAAACUAAUGGAUUAAAGCUAUUCUGCUCUAGUGGCAUGAGUUCAUUUGCUCUUGUAGCAUUUUGUUUCUUUUUUCAUUGAGUUUUUGUUUAAGCGUUCAUAGAGGAUGUUUUGGCAGAUCUGCAUUUAGAGGAUGAGGAGGCAAGUGAGAAUGAAGGCUGGCAGGUGGACUAGGAGACAGUUGAAGAGGAGAUUGUCUACUAUCUUACUCUUAUCGGUUGUUUUCUUAUGACAAGUGCUAUCAAAUUUCAAUCCAUGAUAUCAAAUUUGGCUAAUCUUUGGCACCCCUUCGGAGAGGUUACAAUUAUUGAUUUAGGGGAAAAGAGAUUUCUCUUUCAUUUCUACUAUGAAGUUGACAUUGAAUGGGUGAUUAGUUUGGACUUUUAACAAUCAUUUGUUGAUUUUACAAAUUUAAAAGAGGAGGAUGAACCGUUAAGUGUCCCAUUAUUUCAUGCGAUUUGUUAGGUUCAAAUAUAUGAUCUCCCUAAGGUAUUAUUUUGAAUCAAUGGCCAAGUAAUUUGGAAAUUUUAUUGGGACCUUCUUGGACUAUGACGAAAAAGCUAUGGCCGCGGGUUUGAGAAAUUAUAUACGAAUUCGUGUGGAAAUGGAUAUCAGGAAAUUGAUAAAACGACGGAAGAAACUUAUUAUUGGCAAUGGUAAGGAGCACUUUGUCUCUUUUAAGUAUGAGAAACUCACGACAUUUUGCUUUUUAUAUGGGAAGCUUGGUCAUGGGGAAAGCUUUUGUCCUAUCCAGAUUAUCCAUGAGAAGGAGUUGCCAUUAGACUGGAAUAUAUCCCUAAAAGUUACACUGCAUAGGGCUGCAACAAGUGGCAAUAUCUGGCUGCGUGAUUCGAGCAGGAAUUGAGGAGUCAAUUUUGGAAACAAUGUAAAAGGGAAUGGACGGAUAUUAAGGGAUAAUUCUAUCCCAAAUUUAAUGAGAGUGAUGGGUGCAAAUCUGGGCAUUAAUCUAGUCAGCAAAUCAAACUAUGAUUUGGAGGGAAAUCUGGCUAAUAUGGUGAAUAUGGAUUCUUUAGAAGAGGAAAGGCACAUCUUGUCUACUGAUGGAAAAAAGCGACCCAGAACUAGUUAUGUAUCGCAAGUUUCUUACUAAUAAGAUUUAAGCAAAACUUCAGGGCAGUAGUCUAAUGUUCACCAUAGCAAUCAAUCGGUUGAACCUGCAAGGCAAGUCAACCAGGAUCAAUGAAAAUCUUAAGCUGGAAUGUCCGUGGGAUGUCUAUGGGUUAGGAAAACCACUGUCAAUUCGAUAGAUUUGGCAUAUGUUGGAGGAUUUACAACUCCAAUUUAUGUUUUUAAUAGAGACUAAAGUAGACAGUAGUAGGAUGGAGAGUAUUAGAAUAAGUGCGAGAUUUCUUUAUAGUAUUGACGUUCAAGCAUCUAGUUCUCAUGGUAGGCUUUCGUUGGGUUAGAAGUAUGAUUGUGAUGUUUCUUUGCAAAGUAUGUCCUCUUCCCAUAUCGAUGUUAAAAUUACUGAACGUGAUACAAGAGUUUCUUGACGCCUGAUAGGGUUCUAUGGAUCUUCGAAUGGUCGAAAGAGGAGGGAGUCUUAGGAACUUUUGAAAUUGUUGAGCCAAAGUAAUAAUCUUCCUUAGGUGGUUUUAGAAGACUCUAACAAAAUCUUAUUCAGUUACGAGAAGUAAUGAGGUCGCUUAAGGGAUGAUCACCAAAUGGGGGAUUUUUUCCAAACGUUGGAUGAGUGUCAGUUGAGGAAUUUGAGAUAUUUUGGUAGAUGGUUCACCUGAGAGAAGGGUAAUUUUGCUUCAAAUAAUAUAAGGGAAUAAUAGGAUAGAGGGGUGGCUAAAAACAUAUGGUGUGACUUAUUUCCAAAUCAUCGACUUUCACAUUUGGAACAUUCAUUUUCUGAUCAUUGUCUCAUAAUGUUAGAGACGAAUGUUGUGGCAAAUGCUGCUUGAAGAAGGCCUCAUAGUUUUAAACUCGAAGCGAAGUGAAUUUUGGAUGACUCUUGCGAUGCUAAGGUGAGGAAACUUUAGAGUGAUUAUGCGGAUCUCCAAGUUUCGAAUCGUCUAGAGAAUGUUGGAGAUGGUUUGAGUCGUUAGGCUAAAACGAUAAAAAAAGGACAAAAGGAAGGUGGAAAAUAGACUACUCAAUCAUCUUAAAGUAUUGAGAGACAAGACUACAAUAGAUGAUAUCAUUUUCGAAAUCAUUGAAACCAAAUUGAAUCUCAAUCUUUAGAUGGAUAAAAAGGAAAUGUAUUAGGGGCAAAGAGCUUGAUUAAACUGGCUUAAUUAUGGAGAUCGCAACAUGAAGUUUUUUUACAAUUUUGCCUCUUUUCGUCAUCGUACUAACCGAAUUAGUGGACUUGUAAAUAGAGAUGGAAUAGUGACGUCUAAUAAUAAUAAAAUGAUGACUAUAACUACUGAUUAUUUUGCUAAUAUCUUCACUAGUAACGGCGGAAAAGAUUCUAAUAGAGUGCAUUUGGGUGUUCGUCAAUGCAUUACUGAAAGAAUGAAUGAGAUGCUCAUAGUUGACUUUAGGGGAGAAGAUGUGCAAGCAGCUUUGAAAGAAAUAGGCCCAACUAAAGCACGGGUAGAGAAGGUUUCCCAGCUCUAUUCUUUCAACGUUUCUGGCUAGUGGUAGGGAGUGAUGUUAUAAACUACUACUUGAAGGUGUUUCAUCGUGAAAUCCCAUUAAAUAAGGUAAAUCACACCCACAUCGUUCUUAUUCCUAAGGUUUCUGUACCAGAUGCAAUGCAUAUGUUCUGUCCCAUCAGUUUAUUUUUUCUCUUUACAAGAUUAUAUCCAAAGUGCUUACUAAUAGACUAAAAAGAGUUCUUGAUCAUUGUAUUGAUGAGGCCCAGGGGGAUUUUAUUUUGGUGAGAUUGAUUUCAGAUAAUAUAUUAGCAGUUUAUGAAAUAUUAUAUACCUUAAAAAGAUGUCGAUAGGGGAACAAUGGGAGUUUCGCACUAAAUCUCAACAUGAGCAAAGCAUAUAAUAGAGUUGAAUGGAAUUUCCUUGAAGGUAUGAUAUUGAACAUGGGUUUCAAUAUUGAAUGGGUUUCAUUAAUUAUGUAUUAUGUUACCUUUGUUUCUUAUUCAGUGGUGUUUAACGAGGAUGUGAGUGAUCUGUUUAUCCCUAAUAGGGGCAUCCACCAAGGUGAUCCUUUGAUCCCUUUACCUUUUCUUACUUUAUACUGAAGGUUUUGCUACUUUAUUACACAAAGAAAAAGAGGAUGAUAGGUUGAUGGGGGUGAAAAUUUGCAUGGGUGGUCCCUCAAUCACUCACUUAUUAUUUGUUGAUGACAAUAUGAUAUAUGGCAAAGUUUCUGAUGAAAGAUGUCAGAUUGUCCAAUCUCUUCUUCAAAGAUAUGAGAGAUGUUCUAAAUUGCAGAUAUUUUUCAAUUCUAAUGUCCUGAAUAAUACUUGUUGUCAGAUUACAAGCCGAAUGGGGGUUAAACGGGUUUUCAAUCCGAAAAAUUACUUGGAACUUUCUACUAUGGUUAAAAGAAGGAAGAAUGUUACCUUCCAACAUUUGAAAGAUAGAUUAAAAGAGAAGAUAAGUAAUUGGAGUGUUCGAAUGUUAUCACGGGGAAGCAAGAAGACUUUUAUUAAAUCGGUUUUGCAGGAACUUUCAACAUACUCGAUGUCUUAUUUCCUUCUCCUUAUGUCCCUUUGUAAUGAACUUGAGAGGAUUAUAAGCAAGUUUUGGUGGCAGAAGGAAUAUAGCCGAAAAGUAAUUUUCGUGGUGCAAAAGGAAAGAUCUCUGUGCCUUAAAGGAGGAGGGUGGUUUGGGUUCUCGUGACUUCUCCAAGUUCAAUAUCGUGUUGUUGGCAAAACAAGGAUGGAGACUUAUAACCAAGCCAGAUUCUCUUGUUGCGCUUAAAUUGAGAGCCAAAUAUUACCCACAUUUGGACUUUUUGAAUGCUAAUUUAGGCUUGUCUUCUUCCCAUCUGUGGAGGAGUAUUUGGGCGACAAUAGGACUUUUAGAGAAAGGAAUUGGUUGGUGGGUUGGUAUAGGCAGUUCUAUAUCUAUUUAGAAUGAUUGUUGGUUUCCUUAUUCACAGGGUUGUCAUAUACGAGACUUAGUUGUUAAUGAUUUAGUUAAUACUGUGUCCCAUCUCAUCAAUAUAGAUACUAGAAAGUGGAAUGAAAAGUUAAUUACCAGUAUUUUCUGUCCACAGGAAGUUUCUACCAUACUUUGUAUUCCUCUGUCUCGUGAUGCUGGAGAAGAUAAGCUUGUUUGGUUGGAGGAGAACAUUGGUGACUAUUCCGUUCCCAGUGGCUAUCGGCUCCUUCUUCACUCCCAACAAACUAAGCCCUAUCCUAUGGAAUACAUGGAUUUUUACAAGCGAUUCUGAAAAAUACAAGUGCCAGCUAAAAUUAAAAUUACAACCUGGUGCAUCCUUAACAAUUAUAUCCUUACUAAUACUAAUCUAUUUACAAAAACAGUGGCCCAAACUCUUGUUUGCUUGAUGUGCAACAUUAAAGUGGAAACUAAUGUUCAUGCUAUGAUGGGCUACCACCCUACAAAGAAUAUCUGGGUAAGUUUGGGAUUUACUGAUACUAUUGAUGGUGUAACAGAUAAUCUUUGGGAUUGGUUCACAAAAAAAACUAAAUGGCGAGUAACUGUUUACCUGUCGUCUUAUCCUGAUCACUGUAUGGGAAUAUGGUUCAACCGUAACAAACUGGUGAUGGAAGGGAAACACCUCUCUUCACAAGAUAUCUACACAAAAAUCAGUAGGUUAGUUAGGGAAUUGAACCAUCUUGACAGAAUGUUACAUGGAUUUUGGAGGGGAUAUCAAGAUCGGUGGUUCUCCAUCAGAACCCCAUGUUAAGCUUAAUUUUAACGCCACUUAAAAAGGGAAUACUAAAAGGUAUUACUCAGGGUUUGUUAUUCACUCAAAUGGACAGAUUAUGGGUAGUGGCGUCAUUCAGAAUAAAAAUGUAUCUGACAUUUUCUCGGCAGAAGCCCUGUCAUGCCAACAGGGCUUAUCUUUUGCGAAAGAAAUGGGAUUUAACUUUGUGAUGGUGGAAAGAGACUCUCGAUCCACGAUUACCAAGAUCAACCAAGAGAAAGAAGAUGAGUCUAGAAUCGAGGCCUACAUCAAAGAUAUCAAAAAUUUGGUUCAGGUUUUUAUAUCUAUUAAGUUCAAAUAUAUUCCAAAAAUGGCGAACAACGUUGCUCACCACCUGGCUCGAGAAUGAUUACAGAUGAAUGAAGAAACUUACUGGGUGGAAGAUAUUCAUGACAGUGUGCGAUCAGUGGUAGAGGAAGAUCGGCGUCGGAUAGACCCUGGUUAGGUCAUCCUCGUGCGAACGCUACUCCGAUGGCUGUCUUUCGGUGGGAUUGAACGGCUUUUGUUAUUUAGGCUAAGUUGUUUAUUGCUUUUGAAAAGUGCCGUGGAAAAGUACUUUUGAGAAGUGCUUUGAAAAAAUUUAAG